rnacentral:lncRNA from 1 species
UUUCCACCUUUCUUGAACUUUAGAGCUAAAUCCUCCAAAAACAUCGCGGCAAAACCUUUGUAACCCCCUUUUUCAACCCAAUUGUCUCGAACAGUCAGGACAUUGAUACUUAGGGCCGAAGCUAUCUUCUUUGGUCCCAUAUCUUCUUCGAGCUUUGGAAACGGAUUAAAAUCUUUCAACUUGAGACCCACGAUCCUCUCAACUUCUUCCAAAGUAGGAGCUAGCUGGAAAUCAGCGAAUGUGAAACAACGCAGAGGUGGAUCAUAAUAUU